UACCAGCGCCCCGAGUGGUCGGGACGAUUAUUGGGCCUAAAGCAUCCGUAGCCGGCCUUACAAGUCCUCCGUUAAAUCCAGCUGCUUAACAGAUGGGCUGCGGAGGAUACUAUAAGACUAGGAGGCAGGAGAGGCAAGCGGUACUCAGUGGGUAGGGGUAAAAUCCGUUGAUCCAUUGAAGACCACCAGUGGCGAAGGCGGCUUGCCAGAAUGCGCUCGGCGGUGAGGGAUGAAAGCUGGGGGAGCAAACCGG
rnacentral:rRNA from 1 species